UCCACACCAUUGAGCCUGGUCUACGGCUCU
rnacentral:sRNA from 1 species